GCUCAAGUGGCUCAGUGGUAGAGCACACCCUUGGUAAGGGUGAGGUCGCGGGUUCAAUUCCCGCCUUGAGCUCCA
rnacentral:tRNA from 1 species